UACGUAGGAUGCGAGCGUUAUCCGGAUUUAUUGGGUUUAAAGGGUGCGUAGGCGGAAUAUCAAGUCAGCGGUAAAAAUUCGGGGCUCAACCCCGUCGUGCCGUUGAAACUGGCGGGCUGGAGUUGGAGAGAAGUACGCGGAAUGCGCGGUGUAGCGGUGAAAUGCUUAGAUAUCGGGAAGAACACCGAUGGCGAAGGCAGCUCUCUGGGCCGUCACUGACGCUGAGGCGCGAAAGCUGGGGGAGCGAACAGG
rnacentral:rRNA from 1 species